rnacentral:rRNA from 1 species
UACGGAGGGGGCAAGCGUUAUUCGGAAUUACUGGGCGUAAAGCGUGCGCAGGCGGUUUGUUAAGUCUGUUGUGAAAUCCCCGAGCUCAACUUGGGAAUUGCAAUGGAUACUGGCAGGCUGGUGUAUGGUAGAGGAAGGUGGAAUUCCCGGUGUAGCGGUGAAAUGCGUAGAUAUCUGGAGGAACACCGGUGGCGAAGGCGACAUCCUGGACCGGUAUUGACGCUGAGGCGCGAAAGCCAGGGGAGCAAACGGG